UCCCCAUUUUAAGUCAAGGACCUAUUCUUUUUCCUCGCGAAAUAUUCUCCAUGAACUGGUUCUGUUACAAACUGGGAAGAUUGAGACCGACUCGCUUUCCCAACGCCGUCUUGGCUGCGGGUGGAUGGCUUCCGUUUUGGUGGCCGUCGCUAGAGUUCAGAGUGAUCUGUUUGAGUUGAGGGCCGACUCCGCCUCGCGGGUUCUUGUGGCGGUCCUCUUAGUAACGCUUCACACAUGC
rnacentral:snoRNA from 1 species